rnacentral:rRNA from 1 species
GAUGAACGCUGGCGGCGUGCUUAACACAUGCAAGUCGAACGGGAUCCAUCAGGCUUUGCUUGGUGGUGAGAGUGGCGAACGGGUGAGUAAUGCGUGACCGACCUGCCCCAUACACCGGAAUAGCUCCUGGAAACGGGUGGUAAUGCCGGAUGCUCCGACUCCUCGCAUGGGGUGUCGGGAAAGAUUUCAUCGGUAUGGGAUGGGGUCGCGUCCUAUCAGGUAGUCGGCGGGGUAACGGCCCACCGAGCCUACGACGGGUAGCCGGCCUGAGAGGGCGACCGGCCACAUUGGGACUGAGAUACGGCCCAGACUCCUACGGGAGGCAGCAGUGGGGAAUAUUGCACAAUGGGCGCAAGCCUGAUGCAGCGACGCCGCGUGCGGGAUGACGGCCUUCGGGUUGUAAACCGCUUUUGAUCGGGAGCAAGCCUUCGGGUGAGUGUACCUUUCGAAUAAGCACCGGCUAAC